AACGCACAUUGCGCCCGCUGGUAUCCCGGCGGGCAUGCCUGUUCGAGCGUCAUUUCAACCCUCAGGCCACGCCUGGUGUUGGGGCACCACAGCCGGUGGGCCCCGAAAUACAGCGGCGGGCACGCCCCGGACCCGAGCGCAGUAGCACAUCUCGCUCAGGGCCUCCGGGCGGGCUCCUGCCGUAAAACACCCCAAUUCUAAGGUUGACCUCGGAUCAGGUAGGAAUACCCGCUGAACUUAA
rnacentral:misc_RNA from 1 species